rnacentral:rRNA from 1 species
UACGGAGGGUGCAAGCGUUAUCCGGAUUCACUGGGUUUAAAGGGUGCGUAGGUGGGUAGGUAAGUCAGCGGUGAAAUCCCCGAGCUUAACUUGGGAACUGCCAUUGAUACUAUCUUUCUUGAAUACCUUGGAGGUGAGCGGAAUAUGUCAUGUAGCGGUGAAAUGCUUAGAUAUGACAUAGAACACCAAUUGCGAAGGCAGCUCACUACACGGUCAUUGACACUGAGGCACGAAAGCGUGGGGAUCAAACAGG